rnacentral:tRNA from 1 species
GAAGGAGGUUCACAACAACAAAGACUGCUAAUUCUUGUACCCCAGGUUAAACUCCUGGGCUCCCUCG